UCUGUCGUUUUCGUGGGUGUGACCAUGUCCCGUUGACAAAGGCUGAAGCGGAGAUGACAGCAUCCUGUUUUUGUUUGUUUGGUUUUUUGUUUUAGUUUGCGCAUGCGCAGUGAGGAUAAUCCUGGGAUUAUUGACGGUCCAUGGUGAUUAGUUUUAGCCAAAAUGUGCUUGUCAAACUAAUACAUCCAUUGUAAAGUUUUCCUUGACUAAGAUUCUACCGUUGUGAGAUCAGUUAUGAUAUAUGACGCAUCAUACGCAUGCGCAGAAGUGUGUGAAAACUAGACUUCGCGUUAACAGGCAGCAUUAGGAGGUAAACUAGCAAAUUACACUGAUUUAUUAUCUCCGUGCAAAUUAUGCAGUAAAUUUGGGACAGAAUGUUGUUACACAAGCUCAGUACGUGGGUUGUGUGCGUAGAGAGAGAGAGAGAGAGCAGUGCUGGCGACCAGAGCAGAGAGUUAGCUAGUUAGUUCGCAGUUAGCAGUAUUGCUCUGAACAUACAGUGCGAUGUAAGUAAACUUUAGGCUGUUUGUGCUACAACUACAACUACAGCCACAACUCCUCAAGACCGAAGUCCCUCGUCUCCCCUGUGCUCUUCAACUACAGGCCAGACUAUGAUCUAGGAAGGGAUAACAACGCUGAGGCUGGAAAAUGCAGGAUUCUGCUUUGUCACUACAGAGCGUGUCAUUUGUCAGUUAAUGCCAGGGAGGUGAAAGGUGAAGAUGUCCAGGCAGAGAGCGGCAGGAUGCAGGAGAGACUUUCAGCUCAGUCGUACUCCUCUGGUGUGAUUGGACACCUGAACAGAGCUCCUGGUCGACUGCCCUGCAACCUCCCCUGCCCCGCUGCCUGUGGCGCGCCCACCAGGAUCCUGAGGGAACAUCAGUGACAUUUAAUUGUAAUACGUGGCGUCCAAGAUUGAUGGAAGAUGUUGCAGAGAUUGUCCCUCUCCCUCCAGUGAGCACGUGGUCCGCAGAGUAAUAUUCCUGAAAGCUCUCAGCCAGGCAGCGCUGCUUCCCACCGAGCUUUUGUCCGAACCCAGGCAGCCCAGUGGAGGAAUGGGAGAAUGCUAAAUAGACAGAGAGUAAGUGGGAGGUAGUAAAGAGCAUUAAUUGUGUGUGUGUGUGUGUGUGUGUGUGUGUGUGUGUGUGUGUUCAUGCUAGACUGUAAAGCCCAUGCUAUAUACCCUUUGCUUUUUCUGAUCUCUCAUAUAAAUAAGCACUGCAGCAGGGUGAGUUCCUACAUUUAUGAGGCUUUCACAUGAAUGGCCUCUGAGAGAUUUAGCAACAAGAGUUACUGUGGGACAAACUGAAAAGGAGAGAGGGAGAGAUUGAGCAGGAGAAAAGUCAUGAAUUGAAUUAGGGAGGGUAAAAGGGGGAAGGUUCAUUCUCAACUGUUAAGCCGGGGCUGAAAAAGCUGCUUUUAUUUAGCUAUUUUAAUGCAAAUUAGCACCCAGAAAUUCUUCUUUGUGAUAUGAAUGUGUGAAGCAGUUAUGCUGGGCCCCAUUUAAACACAUUUAUGUGUAUCACAUAUGGCGCUAGGUACAGAGGAUACUGUGUUUGACCCAUGAAGACAAACGUAUUGUUAGUUUUCACA